CCGGGCCCCGGCGGGAAGCGGCGGCCCCGAGCGGAGUGAGGGCAGCGCGGAGCGAGGGAUGCUGCGGGUCAUGGCCCGGCCGGGGAACAGGAGCUCCGCGGGGCUGCUCACGGCGGGGUCACGCAGCAAACCGGGAGGGAACGCCGCGGCACCGCGGAGCCCUCGCCCCCUCAGCGCCGGCCUGAGGCCGAGCUGCGCCGGGGAGGCCGGAGAGGCGACUUGCACGGGCAGCUGGUGCCAUGAGCGUGUCUUUUGCACUGCUGGCUGUGAAAGGAGGUUGUUCUGUGCGCAGGGACCCCGCCUGCAUGGCUGCCUCCAGUUCUGGGGUCCGGGCACAGAGAGGACGUGGAGCUGCUGGAGCGAGUGCAGGGGAGGCACCAGGAUGAUCCGAGGGAUGGAGCAGCUCUGCUGGGAGGAAAGGAUGGGAGAGCUGGGAUUGUUCAGUCUGGAGAAGGGAAGGUUUCAGGGCCACCUAGUUACAGCCUUCCAGUACCUUAAGGGAGAUGACAAGAAAGAUGAUGAGAGACUCUUUACGGUGGCCUGGAGUGACAGGACAAGGGAUUGGUUUCAAACUGAAAGAGAGGGGGUUUAGAUUGGAUAUUAGGAAGAAAUUCUUUUCUGUGAGGGUGGUGAGACCCUGGAACAGGUUUUCCAGAGGAGCUGUCUAUCCCAUCCUUGGAAGGGUCCAGGGCCAGGCUGGAUGGAGCUUUGAGCAACGUGGUCCAGGGGAAGGUGUCUUCCCACAUCUAGGAGUUUGGAAAGAAAUGACUCUUAAGGUCCCUUCCAACCCAAACCAUUCUGUGAUUCUAUGGCUUAAAACUCUCUUUGCUCCUAAAGCUGACUCUUUACAGACAUAUUGCCAUGACUUGGUAUUAGAAUAUUGUUUGGAUUCUUGGGAACUGCCUUCAGCUGCAGCAGUUCUGUGUUUAGGCAACAGAUAUAGAAGGGGAAAAUAGACUUUGCCACAAAAUGGCCUUUUUCACUCAGUGGUUUGCAGAAGUAGUUUAAAGGGAAGAAUAUUAUUCUGUGGUAAAGUGUGGUUUCUUAUGUGAAAUCACGUGGAGGUGACAGAGACUGGUUCCACUUGGUGUCAAUAGAGGUGGAGUUAAAUUUGAGGAAGGAAGUGAAGGUUUCAGUCCUCCGUUACCUUACAUCUUGGAGUGUUGAGAGGUGGUAAAGGCAGUGAUGUUUGAGAAUGUCAAGCUCUGUGAAUCCGAUACCAUCCAAGUGUUUGCAGCCCUCCUGCCCUGCUCAUCACCAGUGACUGCAGCAGAGCAGCCAGCGGGGUGUGCUGGGCACUGCCAUCCGUCCCUGUGCCCCAGAAAUGCAGCAUUUGAGUGCUCCCUGUGAUUCUGAGUCACUGUGACUCCGGGCACAACUCUGAGCACCGCAUUCCCAGAGGUCAGUAAUGCUUCAGGAGCUGCCAGCUCGGUUGGAGACUCGGAAAUGUCUCCAGUUUGAAGUGAAGAACAUUUUCAGGUUAUCACUAAUGCAGUCUCUGUCUCAGCUGCUUUAUCAGGAAAGGGGGAGUUUGAAUAUUAUUUAUGUAGUUUCCUUACAGGAGUUUUUUUCAGUAUUAUUUAGUGAAUGUUGGCACUGUGAGAUGCUUUAAAUACCAGAGGCUUGUUCCCAUGUACCAUAUGAUUUUCCACCUCCUGAAUGCAACUGUUAUUCUUCUGCCACUAUUCAGCCCAAUGAUUUUUAUUUUAUUUACUUCGAUUCUUUGUAUUCUAGAUUAUGCCCCACUGGCAAGGGAUCUUGGGAAAGAACUGUGAUGCUUUUGUUCACUGAACAAAACCUGAUUCAUCCCUUUCCUUACAUCACCACACAGCUCUCCAGCUUCCCAACACAGAGAUUGCUCUGGCUUUCCUUUAGGUACGUUGAAAGUCACAGCAGCUGUUGAUGUGUUUGGAGUCAGCACUGUCCAGUGUUAUGAGAGGGGUAAAGAUAUACGUAAUCAAAGGAGAGAUUUAAUUAUCAGUGAUACUGCAGGAAUGAAAAGGGUGAAAACAAACUGGAAAUUGAGAAACUAGGUGAAUUCUAGAAAGAGCUCUGAAAAGAAGCAAGAAUGAGAGGAAAAAUUAGGAGGUGAUGAGAAGCUAAGUGAUGGCGAUUUAGGAAAUUUAGGAAAUAGGGUCACAGAUAGUGAAAAACAGGAAUUUUUGAGAUGGGGUUACAGAACGAGAGUUGUUACAUCAGACAGAGAUGCACUGACCGUUGACAUUGCCCAGUAAUGCUCCCAAUUUCUGUUUCUGGGUUUCUAUAGGAAUUAAAGUUUAUUUGUUCCUUUGUUUAGGGAAUGGAAUAAAAUUGCAAGAAGGGAACACAAAAGUGUUGGGGGCUGGCUGCCACCAGUAUUAUACAUGAGGUACCAAAUUAGGUUUCACAGGCAAUCUUAAUUUUUGCCUCAGUUAACUUUUUGUCCAGUAACCUACCCAUUAAGACAUUCCUUUACUUUUGCAUAUGUAUGUAUGAAUAUUUUUUGAAACAAUGGUUUAUAAAAAGCUUCAAAUAAAACUGCCCAUGUUGUUGUCCA